UACGUAGGGGGCAAGCGUUGUCCGGAUUUACUGGGUGUAAAGGGCGCGUAGGCUGAUUUGUUAGUCAGAGGUGAAAUCCUGCAGCUCAACUGUAGAAUUGCCUUUGAUACUGCAAGUCUUGAGUUCGGAAGAGAGAGACGGAAUUCCAGGUGUAGUGGUGAAAUACGUAGAUAUCUGGAAGAACACCAGAGGCGAAGGCGGUCUCUUGGUCCGUAACUGACGCUGAGGCGCGAAAGCGUGGGGAGCAAACAGG
rnacentral:rRNA from 1 species